GAUUGUAGUCUGCAACCCGACUACAUGAAGCCGGAAUCGCUAGUAAUCGCGGAUCAGAAUGCCGCGGUGAAUACGUUCCCGGGUCUUGUACACACCGCCCGUCACACCAUGGGAGUCGGGAAUGCCCGAAGUCAGUGACCCAACCCAAGGGAGGGAGCUGCCGAAGGCAGGCCUGGUGACUGGGGUGAAGUCGUAACAAGGUACC
rnacentral:rRNA from 1 species